GGUGUAGCUCAAUUGGUAGAGCAACUGACUUGUAAUCAGUAGGUUGAGGGUUCAAGUCCUUUCACC
rnacentral:tRNA from 1 species